rnacentral:rRNA from 1 species
UACGUAGGCGGAAAAUUAAGUCAGUAGUGAAAUCCUGCAGCUCAACUGUAGAACUGUUAUUGAUACUGGUUUUCUUGAAUGUAGUUGAGGUAGGCGGAAUAUGUAAUGUAGCGGUGAAAUGCUUAGAUAUUACAUAGAACACCGAUUGCGAAGGCAGCUUACUAAGCUACGAUUGACGCUGAGGUACGAAAGCGUGGGGAGCGAACAGGAUUAGAUACCCUGGUAGUCC